CAUCAUGUGUCUGUCCUUGUACAGAGUUCAAGGAAACACACAUUGGUUUGGGCCUUGCCACGAGCACCUUCCUCAGUUAAACACUGCUUGCCUAGAGCCUACUGGUAAGAGCAUUUUUAAAAUUCUUUAUAAAUUUUAUUCUUUAAAUAUUUAUUUAUGUAGUAAAUAAAAAAAUAAAAAAUAAUAUUUUUUAAAUUUUAAAUAAAAAUAAAUUAAUAUUAUUUUAAUUAAAUAAUUACUGCUGUACCGUACAUCCGCCUUGGCCGUACAGCAGGCGAAUCUUUUACAAGAUCAAUUCGGAUUGGCCCUGGUUCGGUUAGAAAAUGUGAUUAGAGGAACUAUAUGUGGAGCAAUUAGGCAUAAAUUGAUGCCCCAGUUAGCCUCUAAGAGUAUCUUCAAAAUGCUCUAUUAAUUUUACUCUUCAAAUAUCUAUUUACUUACAUAUGUGGCAAAUAAAAGAGUGAAAAAAUAUAUUAUUCUCAAAAAGACUCUUCAAAUAGAAAUAAAUUAAUAUUAUUUUAAUUAAAUAAUUAUUUUUUAAGUAAAAAUCAAUAACAAUUAAAACACUUCUCUCUAUUUCUUUAUUGAAAAAUAAUAAAAUAUAAAUUGAAGAGAAAAAAAUUAACUCUCUAAAUUUAAAGAGAAAAAAUCAAUUUUUAUUUAAAAAAUCUUAAUUGAAAUGUCUUUUUAAACUUUAAAUAUUGAUAUACCUCUUCAAAUAAAUAAUAAAAUCUUAUUUAAAAAUUUUUUUGGUGAAGCUCUAACCUGGGAGGGUUUGGACAUUUUUUCCCUUUUUUUUUUUGCCAUUUUUGACCGUUACUUAUCAGUUGAGGGACUAAUUAAGAAAUGUUUAAUUAUGUAUGUACAGCAUUGGUAUUCAUAUAUUUAUUUUAUUUCUGCUAACGACAAACCAAAAGUUUAUUCUUCCUAAAUUCGACAUCGACGGCAAGUUAGAGACACUUAUUCAUGGAAAUCACAUGAAUAUAUAUAUACACACAUAUACGUAUAUCAACUGAAAUUUGAGGAUGUCCGAUGGCUGGCUUAAAUCAUGAGUUACGACUGAAAUUGUACCUCCAUUAAGAACGCCGCCCUCUUCAGGAUAAGUUAAUCAGUGUACAUACAAAUGAAACAAAAUUGUACAUUUUCAAUUUGUUUACGAAUUAGUGUUUGCCUAAUCAAUGACUAUCUAAAGCACUAAUCUUCAAAUUUUCGUCAUAAUCAGAAGAAGUAUGAGUAUCAGUAUAAGUAUCGGAGAAAGGAACUUUUGUCGACGGUGGGGAGUAGUGGGGAUAAAAAAUCUUCCUCAGCUGAUUGUACCUCUCCCCGUCAAAAUCGUGAAGUUUCAUCAGCUUCUUCUGCUUGGUGCUAAAC
rnacentral:lncRNA from 1 species